rnacentral:rRNA from 1 species
CUUGUCUCAAAGCUUAAGCCAUGCAAGUCUCAGUACGAGCUGUCUUAAGGUGAAACCGCAAAAGGCUCAGUAAACCGGUCAUAGUUUACCGGAUAUAUACCACUUACGUGGAUAACUGUGGUAAUUCUAGAGCUAAUACAUGCAAAAAUGUCCCGACCAGAGAUGGUGGGGACGCUUUUAUUGGAACAAAACCAUUCGCCCGGCUUGCCGGGCGUCUUUAUGGUGACACUAGAUAACACACCAGAUCGCACGGUCAUAGAACCGGUGACAUAUCCUUCAAAUGUCUGACUUAUCAGCUGUCGAUGGUAGACUCUGUGUCUACCAUGGCUCUCACGGGUGACGGGGAAUCAGGGUUCGAUUCCGGAGAGGGAGCCUGAGAAACGGCUACCACAUCCAAGGAAGGCAGCAGGCACGCAAAUUACCCACUCCCGGCACGGGGAGGUAGUGACAAAAAAUAACGAUACGGGACUCAUCCGAGGCCCCGUAAUCGGAAUGAGAACAUCCUAAAUCCUUUAACGAAAAUCUAUUGGAGGGCAAGUCUGGUGCCAGCAGCCGCGGUAACUCCAGCUCCAAUAGCGUAUAUUAAAGUUGUUGCGGUUAAGGGGACAGGCGGCUCUUAGCCGCACGAGAUUGAGCAAUAACAGGUCUGUAAUGCCCUUAGAUGUUCUGGGCCGCACGCGCGCUACACUGAAGGAAUCAGCGUGUGCUCCCCUGUCCGAAAGGUCCGGGUAACCCGCUGAACCUCCUUCGUGCUAGGAAUUGGGGCUUGCAAUUGUUCCCCAUGAACGAGGAAUUCCCAGUAAGCGCGAGUCAUAAGCUCGCGUUGAUUACGUCCCUGCCCUUUGUACACACCGCCCGUCGCUACUACCGAUUGAAUGAUUUAGUGAGGUCUUCGGACCGGCGAAAACCGGCACCGACUUGUUCGGUAUCGAUUUCGCUGGAAAGAUGACCGAACUUGAUUAUUUAGAGGAAGUAAAAGUCGUAACAAGGUUUCCCUUGGCAAAUGCUUUCGCAAAAAGCUCGUAGUUGGUUCUGCGUGCCACGCUGUCGGUUCACCGCCUGCCGGUGCAACUGGCAUGCCGUGGCAUGUCCUGUCGGUGGCGGAUAGGCUUCGUGUCGCGUCCUAUGCACUAAACUGUGUAGGCCGCGCGGCACGUUGUCCUUGUACGCCGGCUCAAUCCUACCGCGGUGCUCUUUACCGAGUGUCGAGGUGGGCCGACACUGUUUACUUUGAACAAAUUAGAGUGCUUAAAGCAGGCUCUUAAAUCAGCCUGAAUAGUGGUGCAUGGAAUAAUAGAACAGGACCUUGGUUCUAUUUUGUUGGUUUUCUGAACCAAGGUAAUGAUCAAUAAGGACAGGCGGGGGCAUUCGUAUUGCGACGUUAGAUUAAAGGAAUUGACGGAAGGGCACCACCAGGAGUGGAGCCUGCGGCUUAAUUCGACUCAACACGGAAAACCCCACCAGGCCCGGACAUUGGAAGGAUUGACAGAUCGAUAGCUCUUUCUCGAUUCAGUGGGUAGUGGUGCAUGGCCGUUCAUAGUUCGUGGACUGAUUUGUCUGGUUAAUUCCGAUAACGAACGAGACUCUAACCUAUUAACUAGGCGUUUCCGGUAUAGCUAAGCUACCGGUGAGAAUUAUUCUUCUU